rnacentral:rRNA from 1 species
AACGAACGCUGGCGGCAGGCUUAACACAUGCAAGUCGAGCGCCCCGCAAGGGGAGCGGCAGACGGGUGAGUAACGCGUGGGAAUCUACCCUUUUCUACGGAAUAACGCAGGGAAACUUGUGCUAAUACCGUAUGAGCCCUUCGGGGGAAGGAUUUAUCGGGAAAGGAUGAGCCCGCGUUGGAUUAGCUAGUUGGUGGGGUAAAGGCCUACCAAGGCGACGAUCCAUAGCUGGUCUGAGAGGAUGAUCAGCCACAUUGGGACUGAGACACGGCCCAAACUCCUACGGGAGGCAGCAGUGGGGAAUAUUGGACAAUGGGCGCAAGCCUGAUCCAGCCAUGCCGCGUGAGUGAUGAAGGCCCUAGGGUUGUAAAGCUCUUUCACCGGUGAAGAUAAUGACGGUAACCGGAGAAGAAGCCCCGGCUAACUUCGUGCCAGCAGCCGCAGUAACAC